rnacentral:rRNA from 1 species
GAUGAACGCUGGCGGCGUGCUUAACACAUGCAAGUCGAACGGAAAGGCUCCUGCUUGCAGGGGUACUCGAGUGGCGAACGGGUGAGUAACACGAGGGUGAUCUGCCCUGCACUUCGGGAUAAGCCUGGGAAACUGGGUCUAAUACCGGAUAGGACGAUGGAUUGGAUGCAAUUGUGGAAAGUUUUUCGGCGUGGGAUGAGGUCGCGGCCUAUCAGCUUGUUGGUGGGGUAAUGGCCUACGAAGGCGUCGACGGGUAGCCGGCCUGAGAGGGUGUACGGCGACAUUGGGACUGAGAGACGGCCCAGUCUCCUACGGGAGGCAGCAGUGGGGAAUAUUACACAAUGGGCGCAAGCCUGAUGCAGCGACGCCGCGUGGGGGAUGACGGCCUUCGGGUUGUAAACUCCUUUCGCUAGGGACGAAGCGCAAGUGACGGUACCUGGAGAAGAAGCACCGGCUAACUACGUG